AGUAACGCGUGGAUAACCUGCCCUGAGGUGUGGAAUAACCAGGGGAAACUCUGGCUAAUACCGCAUGAUACCGUGAGGUCAAAGGGGGCUCGCAAGAGCUCUCGCCACAGGAGGGGUCCGCGUCCGAUUAGCUAGUUGGUAGGGUAAUGGCCUACCAAGGCGACGAUCGGUAGCUGGUCUGAGAGGAUGAUCAGCCACACUGGAACUGAGACACGGUCCAG
rnacentral:rRNA from 1 species